CUGCUGUGGGUGUUUCUCUGGCAGUGUCUUAGCUGGUUGUUGUGAGGAGUGAGAACGAAGCAAUCAGCAAGUAUACUGCCGCAGAAACUCUUCGC
rnacentral:pre_miRNA from 1 species